GAUGAACGCUGGCGGCGUGCCUAAUACAUGCAAGUCGAGCGAACAGAUAAGGAGCUUGCUCCUUUGACGUUAGCGGCGGACGGGUGAGUAACACGUGGGUAACCUACCUAUAAGACUGGGAUAACUUCGGGAAACCGGAGCUAAUACCGGAUAAUAUUUCGAACCGCAUGGUUCUAUAGUGAAAUAUGUUUUUGCUAUCACUUAUAGAUGGACCCGCGCCGUAUUAGCUAGUUGGUAAGGUAACGGCUUACCAAGGCGACGAUACGUAGCCGACCUGAGAGGGUGAUCGGCCACACUGGCACUGAGACACGGUCCACACUCCUACGGGAGGCAGCAGUAGGGAAUCUUCCGCAAUGGGCGAAAGCCUGACGGAGUAACGCCGCGUGAGUGAUGAAGGUCUUCGGAUCGUAAAACUCUGUUAUUAGGGAAGAACAUACGUGUAAGUAACUGUGCACGUCUUGACGGUACCUAAUCAGAAAGCCACGGCUAACUACGUG
rnacentral:rRNA from 1 species